GAUCACGUGACAGGCACUCCUGUCAUUCUACUGCAGCGGCUCAGACUUCCUUCAGCCGGUGCGGUCCUAAACGUCUCUUUGGGCUGGGAUCCCGUUCACUUUUUGGUCUCCGGGUGUCCCGCCGCUGCUCGGGUCUCCAGACCGGAAAGAGGACGCCGCUCGACUUUGACUCGGUUCCCCAGCCCAGCUGUGGCCCCGGCGUCCCGGACCGCCGCACCCUCCCUGCCACCUUUGGGUGCGUUGUGGGGGUCCCGGUGCUUGUUUUGUCUCCGGCACCCGCCCAGAUCUGUUGAAAAACACUCAAGAUUAUAAAAUUUAAAUGACCAAAAUGGAUAUCCGAGGUGCUGUGGAUGCUGCUGUCCCAACCAAUAUUAUUGCUGCCAAGGCUGCAGAAGUUCGUGCAAACAAAGUGAACUGGCAGUCCUAUCUUCAGGGGCAGAUGAUUUCUGCUGAAGAUUGUGAGUUUAUCCAAAGAUUUGAGAUGAAAAGAAGUCCUGAAGAGAAGCAAGAAAUGCUUCAAACUGAAGGCAGUCAGUGUGCCAAGACAUUUAUAAACCUGAUGACUCACAUCUCCAAGGAACAGACAGUGCAGUAUAUACUGACUAUGGUGGAUGAUAUGCUGCAGGAAAAUCAUCAACGUGUUAGCAUUUUCUUUGACUAUGCAAAACGUAGCAAGAACACUGCCUGGCCCUACUUUCUGCCAAUGUUGAAUCGCCAAGAUCCCUUUACUGUUCAUAUGGCAGCAAGAAUUAUUGCCAAGUUAGCAGCUUGGGGAAAAGAAUUGAUGGAGGGCAGUGACUUAAAUUACUAUUUCAAUUGGAUAAAAACUCAGCUGAGCUCACAGAAACUGCGUGGUAGCGGUGUUGCUGUUGAAACAGGAACAGUCUCUUCAAGUGAUAGUUCUCAAUACGUGCAGUGCGUUGCUGGGUGUUUGCAGCUGAUGCUCCGGGUCAAUGAGUACCGCUUUGCCUGGGUGGAAGCAGAUGGGGUAAACUGCAUAAUGGGAGUUUUGAGUAACAAGUGUGGUUUUCAACUCCAAUAUCAAAUGAUUUUUUCAAUAUGGCUCCUGGCAUUCAGUCCUCAAAUGUGUGAACACCUGCGGCGCUACAAUAUCAUUCCUGUUCUGUCCGAUAUCCUUCAAGAAUCCGUCAAAGAGAAAGUAACAAGAAUCAUUCUUGCAGCAUUCCGUAACUUUUUAGAAAAAUCAACUGAAAGAGAAACUCGCCAAGAAUAUGCUUUGGCAAUGAUUCAGUGCAAAGUUCUGAAGCAGUUGGAGAACUUGGAACAGCAGAAAUAUGAUGACGAAGAUAUCAGUGAAGAUAUCAAAUUUCUUCUGGAAAAACUUGGUGAGAGUGUCCAGGAUCUUAGCUCAUUUGAUGAGUACAGUUCGGAACUUAAAUCUGGAAGGUUGGAAUGGAGUCCUGUGCACAAAUCUGAGAAAUUUUGGAGAGAGAAUGCAGUGAGGUUAAAUGAGAAGAAUUACGAACUCUUAAAAAUCUUGACAAAACUUCUAGAGGUGUCAGAUGACCCCCAAGUCUUAGCUGUGGCUGCUCACGAUGUUGGAGAAUAUGUGCGGCAUUAUCCACGGGGCAAACGGGUUAUUGAACAGCUUGGUGGGAAGCAGCUGGUGAUGAACCACAUGCAUCAUGAAGACCAACAGGUCCGCUACAAUGCUCUGCUGGCCGUGCAGAAGCUCAUGGUGCACAACUGAAUGAUUUUAAAUGUAAUCAACCUCUAAUUCAGAAGCAGCAAUGUGUGCAUAUGGACAGCUCAGGACUUCAGGAAAGACACACUGAAUUUUGGAAUAUCUCGGCAAACAGCUUCAAUCAGAGCAGCCUCAGACUACUGCUGCACGGAGUUGAGCGCUGCCUCUCAGCCCCCUUAUCUGUGGCAGAGCACCUGGAGUGGGGACCUCAGUGUUUAGGGUUGAGAAUGAAUCACUUUUCAUUUUGCUAGUAUUUUUCUUCCAUCGUGUGGCUUUUCUCAGUGCUAUUUUCAAAAACAAGUGUUUGGUCUUUAAGUUGUAAAAAAGUUGCUGCUUUCUGUAUCUAAAGAAAAUACUACUGUUAUAUAUACUGCUUGCAAUUCCUGUAUUUAUUGUUCUCUGGAAAUGAAUAUAGUUAUUAAAGGAUUCUCACUCCA